rnacentral:rRNA from 1 species
UACGUAGGGCGCGAGCGUUGUCCGGAAUUAUUGGGCGUAAAGAGCUCGUAGGCGGCUGGUUGCGUCUGCUGUGAAAUCCCGGGGCUUAACCCCGGGCGUGCAGUGGAUACGGGCCGGCUGGAGGCAGGCAGGGGAGAAUGGAAUUCCCGGUGUAGCGGUGAAAUGCGCAGAUAUCGGGAGGAACACCGGUGGCGAAGGCGGUUCUCUGGGCCUGUACUGACGCUGAGGAGCGAAAGCCAGGGGAGCAAACGGG